UACAGAGGUGGCAAGCGUUGUUCGGAAUUACUGGGCGUAAAGGGCGCGUAGGCGGUUCGUUAAGUCCUGUGUGGAAUCCCCCGGCUCAACUGGGGAACUGCACAGGAAACUAGCGGGCUUGAGUUCGGGAGAGGGAAGCGGAAUUCCGGGUGUAGCGGUGAAAUGCGUAGAUAUCCGGAGGAACACCGGUGGCGAAGGCGGCUUCCUGGACCGACACUGACGCUGAGGCGCGAAAGCUAGGGUAGCAAACGGG
rnacentral:rRNA from 1 species